UAGAGUUUNAUCAUGGCUCAGAUUGAACGCUGGCGGCAGGCCUAACACAUGCAAGUCGAGCGGUAGCACAGAGAGCUUGCUCUCGGGUGACGAGCGGCGGACGGGUGAGUAAUGUCUGGGAAACUGCCUGAUGGAGGGGGAUAACUACUGGAAACGGUAGCUAAUACCGCAUAACGUCGCAAGACCAAAGAGGGGGACCUUCGGGCCUCUUGCCAUCAGAUGUGCCCAGAUGGGAUUAGCUAGUAGGUGGGGUAAUGGCUCACCUAGGCGACGAUCCCUAGCUGGUCUGAGAGGAUGACCAGCCACACUGGAACUGAGACACGGUCCAGACUCCUACGGGAGGCAGCAGUGGGGAAUAUUGCACAAUGGGCGCAAGCCUGAUGCAGCCAUGCCGCGUGUAUGAAGAAGGCCUUCGGGUUGUAAAGUACUUUCAGCGAGGAGGAAGGCAUUGUGGUUAAUAACCNCAGUGAUUGACGUUACUCGCAGAAGAAGCACCGGCUAACUCCGUGCCAGCAGCCGCGGU
rnacentral:rRNA from 1 species